rnacentral:lncRNA from 1 species
GUUAAAAAUGGUUUAAAAUCGCAUUUUAAACCAAUUUAGUUUUUCAGAAAUGCUAAAUAUUGUUCAAAUGUUAAAGAUUAAUUCAAGUAGUUCACUAAUCCUUUUCAAAACUAGCACCAAACUUUUUAUGUAGCAGUACCAAACACGACAAGCAAAAGCAACAUUUUUUUACCAUGUAUUACCAUCAGUCUCGCUGCGGUUCCCUCCGAAGUGGCGCUAUCGAAAGCUGAGGGGAAGCCAGCUAAACUCACACAGCCCCUCUCUUUAUCCCCUUUGACAAGACUGGCGGUUUGACUCUACCUGCCCAAACUGGUCUGUCCGGUCAAGGAAUGAGUGUUUGCCUCUAUUGUGUUCUCUUUUUCUUUCCAUUUAAAUAGAUUGGAAUCUGAUACAGAUUAUGAUAUGACCCUAUUCAGACCAGAACAUUCUCCUUUAACAAGCUCAUAGCAGACAAGCUAGCAGUUCCUAAACUUUUAUAGUUUUUAUGUACUAUAAAAAAAAAAGGAAGCAGACUCAACCGAAGCCAAAACAACUGAGGCAGAGCGACGGACUAAACUAAAAACGAGCAACGAACAAGAAAACAAGUGAAGAAGAGCUAAAAGUUAUUAAAGUUUAAAAAGUUUUACCCCAUUUCUUCCUCAGAGUGGUCCACUCUCUCAGAAACCAGAUAUGAGAGACGCCCUUAUGAGAGACACCAUUGUAAGUUGGUUAGUAGAGAGCCUGGUCUUCUUCUUCUUCCCUCUUGUCGUCGUUCGACGCCCUGUUCACAGCAGAAUGCCUCGUUUUUCAGCCGGAAGGAGACCAUCUUGAGUCAGGGACUGGAUUCCCAACCAGGAGGUGGACUUGGCGCAUACCUCGCUCAAGAGGUGGAGGUGGAUCUCAACUGGCUGUUUUAGUUUGAUGGAAGAGUGGGCGGGGAAGAACGAUGAGAUUUUGACUCUUACUUAUGAAUAUUCAUAACAUGCAACCAUCUCACCUCUGAUUGGCUAACUGCAGUGGGCAGUUGCAUACCAAGGUGCUAAUUUACAAGUUGACGACAACUUGCAUGUCCUGAUUGACUUGUUUUUUGUAAGAGG